UACAGAGGGUGCGAGCGUUAAUCGGAAUUACUGGGCGUAAAGCGCACGUAGUCGGCUUUGCAAGUCGGGUGUGAAAUCCCCGGGCUCAACCCUGGGAACUGCAUCCGAGACUGCAUUGCUAGAGUAUGGGAGAGGGAAGCGGAAUUUCUGGUGUAGCAGUGAAAUGCGUAGAUAUCAGAAGGAACAUCAGUGGCGAAGGCGGCUUCCUGGACCAAUACUGACGAUCAGGUGCGAAAGCGUGGGGGAGCAAACAGG
rnacentral:rRNA from 1 species